UGCAAGUCGAACGGUGAAGCCCAGCUUGCUGGGUGGAUCAGUGGCGAACGGGUGAGUAACACGUGAGCAACCUGCCCCUGACUCUGGGAUAAGCGCUGGAAACGGCGUCUAAUACUGGAUAUGUGACGUGACCGCAUGGUCUGCGUUUGGAAAGAUUUUUCGGUUGGGGAUGGGCUCGCGGCCUAUCAGCUUGUUGGUGAGAGUAAUGGCUCACCAAGGCGUCGACGGGUAGCCGGCCUGAGAGGGUGACCGGCCACACUGGGACUGAGACACGGCCCAGACUCCUACGGGAGGCAGCAGUGGGGAAUAUUGCACAAUGGGCGCAAGCCUGAUGCAGCAACGCCGCGUGAGGGAUGACGGCCUUCGGGUUGUAAACCUCUUUUAGCAGGGAAGAAGCGAAAGUGACGGUACCUGCAGAAAAAGCGCCGGCUAACUACGUGCCAGCAGCCGCGGUAAUACGUAGGGCGCAAGCGUUAUCCGGAAUUAUUGGGCGUAAAGAGCUCGUAGGCGGUUUGUCGCGUCUGCUGYGAAAUCCCGAGGCUCAACCUCGGGCCUGCAGUGGGUACGGGCAGACUAGAGUGCGGUAGGGGAGAUUGGAAUUCCUGGUGUAGCGGUGGAAUGCGCAGAUAUCAGGAGGAACACCGAUGGCGAAGGCAGAUCUCUGGGCCGUAACUGACGCUGAGGAGCGAAAGGGUGGGGAGCAAACAGGCUUAGAUACCCUGGUAGUCCACCCCGUAAACGUUGGGAACUAGUUGUGGGGUCCAUUCCACGGAUUCCGUGACGCAGCUAACGCAUUAAGUUCCCCGCCUGGGGAGUACGGCCGCAAGGCUAAAACUCAAAGGAAUUGACGGGGACCCGCACAAGCGGCGGAGCAUGCGGAUUAAUUCGAUGCAACGCGAAGAACCUUACCAAGGCUUGACAUAUACGAGAACGGGCCAGAAAUGGUCAACUCUUUGGACACUCGUAAACAGGUGGUGCAUGGUUGUCGUCAGCUCGUGUCGUGAGAUGUUGGGUUAAGUCCCGCAACGAGCGCAACCCUCGUUCUAUGUUGCCAGCACGUAAUGGUGGGAACUCAUGGGAUACUGCCGGGGUCAACUCGRAGGAAGGUGGGGAUGACGUCAAAUCAUCAUGCCCCUUAUGUCUUGGGCUUCACGCAUGCUACAAUGGCCGGUACAAAGGGCUGCAAUACCGCGAGGUGGAGCGAAUCCCAAAAAGCCGGUCCCAGUUCGGAUUGAGGUCUGCAACUCGACCUCAUGAAGUCGGAGUCGCUAGUAAUCGCAGAUCAGCAACGCUGCGGUGAAUACGUUCCCGGGUCUUGUACACACCGCUCGUCAAGUCAUGAAAGUCGGUAACACCUGAAGCCGGUGGCCUAACCCUUGUGGAGGAGCCG
rnacentral:rRNA from 1 species